CCUACGGGAGGCAGCAGUAAGGAAUAUUGGUCAAUGGAGGCAACUCUGAACCAGCCAUGCCGCGUGCAGGAAGAAGGCCCUAUGGGUCGUAAACUGCUUUUGUACCAGAGAAAACCCGAGUACGUGUACUCGGUUGAUAGUAUGGUAAGAAUAAGCAUCGGCUAACUUCGUGCCAGCAGCCGCGGUAAGACGAAGGAUGCAAGCGUUAUCCGGAUUCAUUGGGUUUAAAGGGUGCGUAGGCGGACUGAUAAGUCAGUGGUGAAAUCUCUCAGCUUAACUGAGAAACUGCCAUUGAUACUGUUAGUCUAGAGUAUAGAUGACGUUGGCGGAAUAUGACAUGUAGUGGUGAAAUACUUAGAUAUGUCAUAGAACACCGAUUGCGAAGGCAGCUAACGAAACUAUAAACUGACGCUGAGGCACGAAAGUGCGGGGAUCAAACAGGAUUAGAUACCCUGGUAGUCCGCACCGUAAACGAUGAUUACUCGUUGUUGGCAAUAUGACCGUCAGCGACCAAGCGAAAGCGAUAAGAAUCCACCUGGGGAGUACGCCGGCAACGGUGAAACUCAAAGGAAUUGACGGCGNGAGAGNGCGACGGACGACGACGAGGGAGGAGG
rnacentral:rRNA from 1 species